UUUGUGACUGAGUGGCGGACGGGUGAGUAACGCGUGGGUAACCUGCCUUGUACAGGGGGAUAACAGUUGGAAACGGCCGCUAAUACCGCAUAAGCGCACAGCAUCGCAUGAUGCAGUGUGAAAAACUCCGGUGGUAUAAGAUGGACCCGCGUUGGAUUAGCUAGUUGGUGAGGUAACGGCCCACCAAGGCGACGAUCCAUAGCCGACCUGAGAGGGUGACCGGCCACAUUGGGACUGAGACACGGCCCAGACUCCUACGGGAGGCAGCAGUGGGGAAUAUUGCACAAUGGGGGAAACCCUGAUGCAGCGACGCCGCGUGGAGGAAGAAGGUCUUCGGAUUGUAAACUCCUGUUGUUGGGGAAGAUAAUGACGGUACCCAACAAGGAAGUGACGGCUAACUACGUGCCAGCAGCCGCGGUAAAACGUAGGUCACAAGCGUUGUCCGGAAUUACUGGGUGUAAAGGGAGCGCAGGCGGGAAGACAAGUUGGAAGUGAAAUCUAUGGGCUCAACCCAUAAACUGCUUUCAAAACUGUUUUUCUUGAGUAGUGCAGAGGUAGGCGGAAUUCCCGGUGUAGCGGUGGAAUGCGUAGAUAUCGGGAGGAACACCAGUGGCGAAGGCGGCCUACUGGGCACCAACUGACGCUGAGGCUCGAAAGUGUGGGUAGCAAACAGGAUUAGAUACCCUGGUAGUCCAUGCCGUAAACGAUGAUUACUAGGUGUUGGGGGAUUGACCCCCUCAGUACCGCAGUUAACACAAUAAGUAAUCCACCUGGGGAGUACGACCGCAAGGUUGAAACUCAAAAGGAAAUUGACGGGGGCCCGCACAAGCAGUGGAGUAUGUGGUUUAAUUCGAAGCAACGCGAAGAACCUUACCAGGUCUUGACAUCCUUCUGACCACUCCGUAAUGGGAGUUUUCCUUCGGGACAGAAGAGACAGGUGGUGCAUGGUUGUCGUCAGCUCGUGUCGUGAGAUGUUGGGUUAAGUCCCGCAACGAGCGCAACCCCUAUCUUCAGUAGCCAGCAGGUAAGGCUGGGCACUCUGGAGAGACUGCCAGGGAUAACCUGGAGGAAGGUGGGGACGACGUCAAAUCAUCAUGCCCCUUAUGAUCUGGGCGACACACGUGCUACAAUGGCGGUCACAGAGUGAGGCGAACCCGCGAGGGGGAGCAAACCACAAAAAGGCCGUCCCAGUUCGGACUGUAGUCUGCAACCCGACUACACGAAGCUGGAAUCGCUAGUAAUCGCGAAUCAGAAUGUCGCGGUGAAUACGUUCCCGGGUCUUGCACACACCGCCCGUCA
rnacentral:rRNA from 1 species